GCAAGUCGAACGGUAACAUUUCUAGCUUGCUAGAAGAUGACGAGUGGCGGACGGGUGAGUAAUACUUAGGGAUCUGCCCUUUGGAGGGGGAUAACCAUUGGAAACGAUGGCUAAUACCGCAUAUUACCUACGGGUAAAAGGGGGCUUCCGGGCUCCCGCCAAAGGAGGAACCUAAGCGAGAUUAGCUAGUUGGUAGGGUAAAGGCCUACCAAGGCGACGAUCUCUAGCUGUUCUGAGAGGAAGAUC
rnacentral:rRNA from 1 species